UUAAAUACUAGACAAAUAUUCAGGGAACUUGAUAUUUCGCAAACAUCUGUAAUGAAAAUUGAACGUGACAAACCUAAUGAUAGAAAAAUGUUACAAUCAAAACGAUUCAAAUUUUUUAUGCAAUGUUAUAUUUUGCGAUUAGGCCACUUUUUAUAUUAAUCGAAACGUAUAUCGGCAUCAUCGUAGAUACUGGUAACAAUCCUUGUUGGAUGCGUGAGUCCCACACCCAAUAUUCCGAAAAACUGAUUGUAUGGGCUGUAAUAAUUGGUGAUAAAAUGGUCCGACGUAUUUAGAUCUAAGGAAAAAUAGUAUUAUACCUGAGUUGGCUCGGAGAUUUCCCGAUCCAAGAAAUGGAUUGGAAGGUGUGGUUUUAUCGAAUGACCCCCGCGAUCACCCGACAUAAAUCCUUUAGAAUAUUUUCUGUGGGGACACUUAAAAAGCAUCCUUCAUUAAACAAAACCUGCCAACAUUUAGGAAUUAAAAGAUAGGAUUACCACAGGGAUAAGAAGAAUUUGGUAGUCAGGGAUGCUGCAAAAUGUAUUGCUAAGUUUUAAAAAUGGCAUAGCAUGUUGUAUUUAAGUAAAUGGAAAACAUUUUUAGCAAUUGUUGUAAUCACCUUUACUUUAUGUUCUUCAAAAUUCGUAUUCUUUCUAUUUUUUCACAAAUGUCUGUUUGUCUUCAAUUGUUGUAGGUUUUCUGCGCUUUGAUUUGAAUGAAUAUUUGACUGCACCAGUUUCGUUAAACUUGUUACUAACUUACUGACACUAGACCUUGUUACGAGAUUUUAAUUAGCACAUAAAUUAUUGGAGAAUAUUCAAAUUAAACGAGUUUAUUCAAUCGUAGCUAUCAAAAUGUGCAGUAUUUAUUUAACUUUGGUGAAGAUACUGUAAUUGCAUCUAUAACUCCGAAAUGAUAGUAUUUAGGAAAAAGGAAGGAUCUGACAAAAAUGUAGAUAUCAUCAUAAAACCGGGUAUAUCCCAAGGCACCAAUAUUUAUAAAAUUCGUACAAGAAGUUUCCGAGAUAAUUGAUGCGUUCCACACAUAAAACUCACUCUGUACAUAAUACUAACUGAUUAGCAUAACACCCCUUCUCUUGCUGUUAUAACUACCAAGUAUGGGGAUGUCCUAGCCUAACCUAACCUAACCUAGCCUGUAGAUGAAAAAAUGGUCAACCGGGACGCAAUUAGUAUUGAUCUCGACAGGUCUAGUUCAUAGCGGGACGUCACUGAUCUGAGGCAUUUAGAAUUAGCUAAUAACCUUAUUUUACCGUUCUCCUGUUGGCCACAAAUUCAGUAACGUAUAUUUAGUUUCGUUCUUUAUGAAAAAAUAUAAUGUAGCUCUAUUAGAUACAGUUUUAAUUUUAAGAUUAUUUUUGUAUAGCUGCUCUUCUAAUAAAUAAAAGUUGUUGGAUA